rnacentral:rRNA from 1 species
UACCAGCACCCCGAGUGGUCGGGACGAUUAUUGGGCCUAAAGCAUCCGUAGCCGGUCCUACAAGUCUUCCGUUAAAUCCACCUGCUUAACAGAUGGGCUGCGGAAGAUACUAUAGGGCUAGGAGGCGGGAGAGGCAAGCGGUACUCAGUGGGUAGGGGGUAAAAUCCUCUGAUCCAUUGAAGACCACCAGUGGCGAAGGCGGCUUGCCAGAACGCGCUCGACGGUGAGGGAUGAAAGCUGGGGGAGCAAACCGGGA